ACACACAUCUCACACUGUUUUUCCUUGUUCUUAUAGCCGUAUAUUUAUCUUUAUUAGAUACUAGUUUGAAAUGUAUCUUCACGAGUUAUUGGUUUCUAUUGUUUUGUUAUACGUUGCUUUAUGUUGUCAUAGCAGGACUCUUGGCUGAGGAAUGUCUUUCUACCAUUUAUUGAUUAGCAGGUUUACGGAAUAAGAAAAAGCGAAAACGACUCUAGUGUGAUAUAUUAAGAAAGGACAUGUUUACUAUAUAAGGGUUAAUAUAACAUCCUGUCUAACUAGUAUUUACACAUAUACAACCAAUGUUUUCAAUGUUACUUUAUAUUAAACUCACCUUUCUCUGGAGGCCAGUUGUAAUUCUUUUUUCGGUCCAUCUCAGCCGACUUCUGCUCCGAUUUUCCGAUUUCAUUGAGGUUCGAUUGAAACUUGGUACCUAAAAAGAAAAGAAUCAAAGACGAAGAAACAAUUAUGAAGAAUCAAAUCUCACGUCAAGACCGCGCGCAAAGCCGCCGGUGAAACGGCGGAGACGGUAGAUCUGAGGGAACGGAAGGAGCGAAAGCACUGCGUGUUUCACAUAGCAGCACCAACGGACAAAGGGACGUGCAACGAGUGGCCCUCUCAACUGAAGAUGUUUACGAACCUGUUACGCAUAAAGUGGGUGGCAAACGCGUCAACUAGUAUGCAAACUCCGAGUAAACACAAUUCCCUUAUCCGUACGAAGUAGAUUCUAUCAUGUCACGACACACGCUUGUCGCGAGCCUUGCCAGUUUGAAUUACAUACUUGCAAUGGAACAGUUCAUGACGAGCAUGUUUUGAUAAAAUUAUGGAAUGAGAUCCUCUACAUGUGAACUUAUCGCGUUAUCACAUAUAUGUUCGCCAUGCAUUUCGACAUCUAAAAGGAACUUGACGCGGUGCGAUGCUAAUAACGGCAACAAGAUAAUCUUAUCAAUUCUCACGUGGUUUUUAAUCAGUACUUUCUGGGAAAUCAUCGGCCAUCAAUCACCCUACAUCUUUGGCUUAUGCUACCGUGUAAAACGAACUUCACGCUUAUAUUUUAUGUGCAUACCACGGAAUGAAAAAUGAUCGUCGUUUCGUACAUACAUGACGUCCGUCUCAUGUGAGAAUCGGCACGUCAUGCACAUGCGACAUAUGGUGGCGUACGUGCUUGCUAAGUCGUGCUAUUACUUAUCAGAAUCGCAUUACGACGUCGAUACCUCGCAACCGCAAUGUACAAUCGACAUAGAGCCGCGCGUGUUUUCCAUCACCCGUCGAGAGAUUAUCACUGAUCGCGUCGCGUCAUCGGCGUUUCACGAUUUUUUCCAAAGGAUAUCCGUGCAGGCGCGCGGGACUCACGGACAGCAAUGGGCAAUGGGAGACAGACUAAACUUCCGCUGACACACACGUGGAAGCGCGCGUUAACGGCGCGUUUAACAGGCGGUGUAAGCCGCGGACCGACAACCUACGUACUUAUGGCUUAAUUUUAGGGUAUCCACAGAGCAAGGUGCUUGAAUAUACCGCUUUGUGUCUUCGUUCUCUCCUGAUUAGAUUUGUAAGUUCACGGCAGCCCCGAGGCGGAGCAGUGGGUUUGGGCAGGGAGCAAGGCAAGGUUGUAAGCAGUGCCGGGGAACACGAUCUUGGCACGAUAGCCUAUUUCGGCGAGGUAAUGGGCGAUCAUGAGGGUGUACGCGCGCGCGAGCACGAGGUCGCACGCUUGCGCACCGUAGGUCGCGUGUAUGUACACACGCUCGUGUGUAUAAUACCAGAGCUUGAUACCGGAGUAAGGUCGCCGCCGCCGCUGCCGCCGUCGCCUCGCCGGAUACACCCUCGAACAACGAGGUGAGACACCGUACGGCGACGCAGUGGAUAGGCUAGACAGACGUAUGCAAAUCUCGACCAAACAUUAGCAGUGACAUUGUGUGUAUCAUGGCGCUAUACACGUAUGUACGUGCAUACGUGCGAGCCCGCCGGGCCGGUUCUAUAGUUUCCUAUAUGCGGGAAUCUCUAUCGCGAUGCGCGGCGCUGUUUCUCUAUAGCUGUGCGUGGGCGACGAUGUGUUUAGGAACUAGACAUAAACUAGGCGCUGCUGCUUCAACGCGUGUGCGAGUUCCCGGUAUGUAAGCCUCCCUGUCUAGUUUGGAGCACCCGAUGAGGUGGGUUGUUUGCGACAGCAACGUGCGCGGGUAAAUUUUCAAGGAAAGGAAAGAUCGCGGGAGAGUACGCUUGAGCGCAAGCUGUUAAAAUAUAAAAAUGCCUGAACAAAAGGAGGUACAGACGAAACUUUUGUUCAAUUCUUUGGGUAUGCCAAUGUUUCCAAUUGGGAAUAUUACUGACUUGACGUUAGUUUUGAGUGUUACAUUGUAGUUGUUUCUUCAUUGAAUGACUCAAAAAUAUAAGUUUAAUAUAAAUCUUUUAAUCGAGUGUAAGAAGGCUGUAUGACAAAAACUCUAAAUGAUUUUCUUAUAUCGAGAAUAAAUAAAAUAGAAUGUUCUCUGUCUA